rnacentral:rRNA from 1 species
UACGAAGGGGGCUAGCGUUGUUCGGAAUUACUGGGCGUAAAGCGCACGUAGGCGGAUAUCUUAAGUCAGGGGUGAAAUCCCGGGGCCUCAACCCCGGAACUGCCUUUGAUACUGGGUAUCUCGAGUCCGGAAGAGGUGAGUGGAAUUCCGAGUGGUAGAGGGUGAAAUUCGUAGAUAUUCGGAGGAACACCAGUGGCGAAGGCGGCUCACUGGUCCGGUACUGACACUGAGGCCACGAAAGGCGUGGGGAGCAAACAGG